AUGAUCUUUGUAUUUUGUUGCAAAUAUGGCACUUGUGUGUGUACCAUGGCUUCAUUGCAUAUUGACUUUAACAAAUAUGAAAGAGAGAUGUUUCUAACCUGCUACGCAGCAAGGAUUGCAAUGCUUUGCGCUAACAAUUCCUGUUUGAAGGUCAACACGGACUAUAUCCUGGAAACUGAAAAUUUCAUGGAAAAGAUCUAUUAUGAUGCUAUAGAAGUUGAAGAUAAGUAUCUUCUCCCCUUCUGCCUUGGGUCUGAAAGCAAGGGCAUGUACUAUAAAAUGUAUGAAAUAUAUUAUUUUAUCUUCUACAUUUGUUGA
rnacentral:rRNA from 1 species